UACGUAUGGGGCAAGCGUUGUCCGGAAUUAUUGGGCGUAAAGGGUACGUAGGCGGUUAAUUAAGUCCGAAUUAAAAGGCUGUGGCUCAACCAUGGUAAGGUUUAGAUACUGGUUAACUUGAGUAGAUGAGGGGAAAGUGGAAUUCCAUGUGUAGCGGUGAAAUGCGUAGAUAUAUGGAGGAACACCUGUGGCGAAGGCGACUUUCUAGAAUCUAACUGACGCUGAGGUACGAAGGCGUGGGGAGCAAACAGG
rnacentral:rRNA from 1 species